AUGUCUGAGGAUGUGAAAAAGAAGUUUCAGAAGUACUGGACUGAUAUCCAUGGUCUGAUGGCUAUUUCUACUGUUCUUGACCCAAGAUACAAACUCCAUAUGGUGUAGGCUUUGUACGGUCCUCUCUAUGGACCUGAGGCUGCAAUUCAGGAGGUUGCGCGUGUGAAGCAAUUGCUCCGAGAAUUGUUGGUUGCAUACCAAGAUGCCUCUUCCACGGGAACAUCAAAUGUUGCUAGUGCUUCACAGGCCACUGCUUCAGCUUCACGGGAUGAAGUUUUUGACAUAUUUGAACGAAACAUGUCUUCACAACCUACAACUUCAUCUUUGUUGGUUCAUACAGAGCUAGACUUGUAUUUAGAAGAGCCAACUUUGCCAAGAACACCUGAUUUUGAUAUCAUCAAUUGGUGGAAGUUUAGAGGGAUAAAAUAUCCUACUCUACAGCUUAUUGCUCAUGACAUCUCGUCUAUUCCAGUCACAACGGUAGCAUCAGAAUAUGCAUUCUCUACAAGUGGUAGAAUCCUUAGUCCUCACCUCAGUAUACUUGCACCAAACAUAGUUGAAGCUAUAAUGUGUAUGCAAGCUUGGUCUAAUGCUGACAUGCUAGGUGAGACAAUUCAAAUGCUGCUCUUUUGCUUCAAUUUUACUGCUGGUUUGUUGUUACUACACUACUUUUUUGCUUGGAUAAUUUACUAG
rnacentral:rRNA from 1 species